AGAGUUUGAUCCUGGUUCAGAACGAACGCUGGCGGCAGGCUUAACACAUGCAAGUCGAGCGCACUCUUUUAGAAGUGAGCGGCAAACGGGUGAGUAACGCGUGGGAAUCUACCCAUCUCUACGGAAUAACACAGAGAAAUUUGUGCUAAUACCGUAUACGUCCUUAGGGAGAAAGAUUUAUCGGAGAUGGAUGAGCCCGCGUUGGAUUAGCUAGUUGGUGAGGUAACGGCUCACCAAGGCGACGAUCCAUAGCUGGUCUGAGAGGAUGAUCAGCCACACUGGGACUGAGACACGGCCCAGACUCCUACGGGAGGCAGCAGUGGGGAAUAUUGGACAAUGGGGGCAACCCUGAUCCAGCCAUGCCGCGUGAGUGAUGAAGGCCCUAGGGUUGUAAAGCUCUUUCACCGGUGAAGAUAAUGACGGUAACCGGAGAAGAAGCCCCGGCUAACUUCGUGCCAGCAGCCGCGGUAAUACGAAGGGGGCUAGCGUUGUUCGGAAUUACUGGGCGUAAAGA
rnacentral:rRNA from 1 species